CUCUGGUAUUGAUUGGUGCUUGCAUCAUGAUUUACAUUUGAGUGAGUGGCGAACUGGUGAGUAACACGUGGGAAACCUGCCCAGAAGCGGGGGAUAACACCUGGAAACAGAUGCUAAUACCGCAUAACAACUUGGACCGCAUGGUCCGAGUUUGAAAGAUGGCUUCGGCUAUCACUUUUGGAUGGUCCCGCGGCGUAUUAGCUAGAUGGUGAGGUAACGGCUCACCAUGGCAAUGAUACGUAGCCGACCUGAGAGGGUAAUCGGCCACAUUGGGACUGAGACACGGCCCAAACUCCUACGGGAGGCAGCAGUAGGGAAUCUUCCACAAUGGACGAAAGUCUGAUGGAGCAACGCCGCGUGAGUGAAGAAGGGUUUCGGCUCGUAAAACUCUGUUGUUAAAGAAGAACAUAUCUGAGAGUAACUGUUCAGGUAUUGACGGUAUUUAACCAGAAAGCCACGGCUAACUACGUGCCAGCAGCCGCGGUAAUACGUAGGUGGCAAGCGUUGUCCGGAUUUAUUGGGCGUAAAGCGAGCGCAGGCGGUUUUUUAAGUCUGAUGUGAAAGCCUUCGGCUCAACCGAAGAAGUGCAUCGGAAACUGGGAAACUUGAGUGCAGAAGAGGACAGUGGAACUCCAUGUGUAGCGGUGAAAUGCGUAGAUAUAUGGAAGAACACCAGUGGCGAAGGCGGCUGUCUGGUCUGUAACUGACGCUGAGGCUCGAAAGUAUGGGUAGCAAACAGGAUUAGAUACCCUGGUAGUCCAUACCGUAAACGAUGAAUGCUAAGUGUUGGAGGGUUUCCGCCCUUCAGUGCUGCAGCUAACGCAUUAAGCAUUCCGCCUGGGGAGUACGGCCGCAAGGCUGAAACUCAAAGGAAUUGACGGGGGCCCGCACAAGCGGUGGAGCAUGUGGUUUAAUUCGAAGCUACGCGAAGAACCUUACCAGGUCUUGACAUACUAUGCAAAUCUAAGAGAUUAGACGUUCCCUUCGGGGACAUGGAUACAGGUGGUGCAUGGUUGUCGUCAGCUCGUGUCGUGAGAUGUUGGGUUAAGUCCCGCAACGAGCGCAACCCUUAUUAUCAGUUGCCAGCAUUAAGUUGGGCACUCUGGUGAGACUGCCGGUGACAAACCGGAGGAAGGUGGGGAUGACGUCAAAUCAUCAUGCCCCUUAUGACCUGGGCUACACACGUGCUACAAUGGAUGGUACAACGAGUUGCGAACUCGCGAGAGUAAGCUAAUCUCUUAAAGCCAUUCUCAGUUCGGAUUGUAGGCUGCAACUCGCCUACAUGAAGUCGGAAUCGCUAGUAAUCGCGGAUCAGCAUGCCGCGGUGAAUACGUUCCCGGGCCUUGUACACACCGCCCGUCACACCAUGAGAGUUUGUAACACCCAAAGUCGG
rnacentral:rRNA from 2 species